CCUACGGGAGGCAGCAGUGAGGAAUAUUGGUCAAUGGGCGGGAGCCUGAACCAGCCAAGUCGCGUGAGGGACGACGGUCCUAUGGAUUGUAAACCUCUUUUGUCGGGGAACAAAGGCGCCCACGGGUGGGCGGAUGAGUGUACCCGAAGAAAAAGCCUCGGCAAACUCCGUGCCAGCAGCCGCGGUAAUACGGAGGAGGCGAGCGUUAUCCGGAUUUAUUGGGGUAAAGGGGUGCGUAGGCGGACAGUAAAGCCGGCGGUAAAAAUGCGGUGGUAAACGCCGUACAGCCGUUGAAACUGGCAGGCUUGAGUGGGCGAGAAGUAUGCGGAAUGCGUGGUGUAGCGGUGAAAUGCAUAGAUAUCACGCAGAACUCCGAUUGCGAAGGCAGCAUACCGGCGCCCGACUGACGCUGAGGCACGAAAGCGUGGGUAUCGAACAGGAUUAGAUACCCUGGUAGUC
rnacentral:rRNA from 1 species